UACGAAGGGGGCUAGCGUUGUUCGGAAUCACUGGGCGUAAAGCGCACGUAGGCGGAUGUGCCAGUCAGGGGUGAAAUCCCGGAGCUCAACUCCGGAACUGCCUCCGAUACAGCACGUCUUGAGUUCGAGAGAGGUGGGUGGAAUUCCUAGUGUAGAGGUGAAAUUCGUAGAUAUUAGGAAGAACACCGGUGGCGAAGGCGGCCCACUGGCUCGAUACUGACGCUGAGGUGCGAAAGCGUGGGGAGCAAACAGG
rnacentral:rRNA from 1 species